UGGAGGGGACAGAGCGACAGCAGGGUGCAACUCAGGCACCUUGGAGGACUCUCCGAGGGGUGUCGGGCUUCAACUCCGAGCCCAUGAAAUACCCCAGGGGAAGGGGAGGUGGGCCAGAUCUGAUCCUGACAUACCCUUCGCCCUCGGCGCACCGAGAAGCGUUUAAGAGGGAUGACUCCGAUCGUCAUGCACGUUAACCCUCAAACCGGUUUAGCCUGGGCAUUCCGGAACCCAGACCACAGGGCCGCGGGGAUUGCCUUUGCGUGCAACUCAGGAAAGUUUUAAGGGUCCCCCUCGACUGCACGUGCACCCUUACCUUUCCUGCCUGCGACAGCGGGUGACCUCCCUGCCCUCCUUUUUUCUCUGCAGGUCCGGAAAUCUGCGUUGAGUCUGGAACUACCCAGCUCCAGCCUUGGUAGACGACCCGCGCACUCCUCUUGCAGCUAAUUCGGGAUCAUUAAUUUAAUCGGAAAUGAGGUAACCAGUGUAGGAGAUAGAGAAAGCAAACCAAGCAUCGAAUGGCAGUUCUCGUGAAUCCACGCUGAAGAACUUCCUCUGGACUCGAUUUUUAAGCGCGGUUGUCAACACCCCACCACCCGGCCCCCUCCGCGUGUACCACCGCCAGGUGUUAGCUUGCCGGGAAGGAAUCUUCUUUGGAGGGGUGCACCUUGCCAACAGGUGUGGCACCUGGAGGAAGAGAAGGCACAUCCAUGCUAAAGGGAGGUCGGUGCGGCGUCCUCCUUAAUGCAGAUAAUUCUGGAAGACCAGUAGGUGUCGGGGCAGCAUUUGACCUCCUUCAGGUGCUUAGAACCAAGCGUCUGCAAACGUGAUCCCUCCACUACUGCAUUUCCGAAGAGCCUGAUUUAUGCACAAAUCUGCAUCAUCAUUGCUGAGAGAACACUCUGUGAGGAAUGUGCUGGGGUCCUGAACGUGAAGGUUUUCUUCACAGCAGCAGAGGGAGCACAAGAGUGCUUAGUAAAACAAGCGCACGGGCCCUCCAAGUGACCUAGAUAAAUUUUCAUCACUGCAACUGUGACCAAGAUUGAAUGUAAUGCAAUGGCCUGUGAAAUA
rnacentral:lncRNA from 1 species